rnacentral:lncRNA from 1 species
GGAUAUGGGAAUGAAGAGAACAAAAAAAUCUCAGCCCUCAUGGAGCUUGCAUUCAGUGGGGCCAACAGAUAAUAGGCAAGCUAAGGGAACAGAAUGAGUUAGAAAGAGUAGAAUUAAGGAGAAAAAAAUAAAAGAGCAAGGGAAGAGGGUGUGUAUUGAACUUUUAGGGACAGUGGACCUCACCAGGAAACCUCACCAGUAAGAGGGUCAUUUGAGCCCCUCACCCGAAGGGAAGAAGGUGUGAGUGCACCUCGGGAAAGAGCUGGUACAAGUGUCUGCAGACAGGACUGGCCUGGAGGAACUUACUCAACAGUGGGAAACAGUCUGCUCUUCCUGCAGACACACACCCAGAGAGGCAACCCAUUUUCUACUUGGCAUCAUUCUUAGAUAGGUCAAGGUCAUGCUGAUGGUGAGAAGAUCCCAUGGAGUGUCAAUACACUGGGAGCUGUGCCUCUGUAUGGGCCAGGCACUGGGAAUGACUGAAGAGGCCCACACUGAAAUCACUUCUAGAUGGUGCUUGAUACCCGGACUGUGUAAGCAGAUUUGAUGAGGUACCCUGCAGUGAGGUCCCUGAAGUCAAGGAUCCUGCCUUGUGUUUCUGUGCCUGCUCCGAAACUGCUCCCCAGGAUCUGGCCUCUAGAGGGUACACAAUACACAUGAAGAAAAUGUGAAUGUGCUCCUUGGUGGCUCUCUGACAGAAUCCCUAAAGGAUGCUCACUAUAGGAAAAGGAAAAAGAAAUCUCAAACCAAAAGAAAUAUUUUACAUCAAGUGUACAAGGCUGGAGAGACAGAAAACCCCUUAACUUGGCAAACUACAAUAUCUCAGAGGCUGCAUGGUCUUCUUAAAAAUGAGGAAACCUUAAAAGAUAAAUCAGAUCAUAUUCCUAUCUUGCCUGAGAAGCUUCAAUGAUGUCCCGCUGCUCUGCAGAUAAGAAUCCACGUUCCUGCUCUGGCCAACUGGGCUUUGCUGGCUCUGGUUCCUCCAUUUCUACCCAGCAUCACUUCCCUCCAGCCCCCCACAGCCCCAAGGCUCCUGGCAGCAAGGUGUCCCCACAGCGCCCACAGGCCCAUGGUCCCCUGCACCUGAACUCCCUUCCUUCCAUGCUUUGCAGGCUCUCCAUCCCUGUCUUCCUUUUGGCCUCCCCCAAACCCCCACUUAAAGUGGGCUCCCUCACCCCAUGUUUCCUCUCUUUGUCCUCUUCCUUUGCUUCCUUCACAGCACUCCUUCCAACCUGCAAUUUAUUACUUUUAUUUUUUUAUUUUAAAAAUAGAGACAGGGUCUUGCUAUGUUGCCCAUGCUGGUCUUGAACUCCUGGCCUCAAGCAAUCCUCCUGCCUUGGCCUCCCAAAGUGCUGAGAUUACAGGUGUGAACCACCACACCUGGCCCAAACUGCAAGUUUUAAAUUUUCCAUUUUUCAACUCUUUUCACCACUAGAACACCAGUUCCAAGAGGGCAAGAAACAGGCUUGUCCUGUUCACAGCUGUGUCCCUAACACCUAUCAGUGUGUAACAGUGGCAGGGGCUCGGUGAAUAUGACUUGCAGAUUCACCUACCCCACCCGAGGAGAUGGCCCUAUUCCUCCAACUCUCAUUUAACAGAAACUUUCUGCAAAAAAAAAAAAAAAAAGGAAUCUGUAAGAGUCAUUUUUUGAAUGUUAAUAUUGCCUUUUUUCCUACUCUAGGAAGUGACAUUUACUAUUACGCUAAAUAUUCUUUGCUAUGAGUGUUCAAGUCAUUCACAAUUUUCUUACUCCUAUAAAUGCAGCAUACGUAGCCCUCACCUCCCUAAGACCAAGGGCUCCAAGCUCAUUAAUGGAUAAACUCAACUGAGUUAAACUCCCACAUGAAUCCCCAGAUACUGCUUUUGCCAAAGAGUCAUUUCCAGGACAGGUCUUAAAUGUUUAGAGACAUAAAACACACACUCUUACACACACUUAAAGCCUUGCAGUAAUUAAUGAUACAAUCCAUAAGGAACCCCCUCCAACCAUCCCUGCAAUGUGCAACUGAAGUCACACAAGUCUUAAGUUGAAAUAGGACUCUAUCCUUGUAUUUACAGGCCUCAGGUCCCAUUUGUCAGUGACAGCAAUUGGUUAAUGUUU